GAAGGAAACUCGUUACCUGUUGUCUGCCUCAUACAUUCUCUGUUGUUUUCAGUGCACAGGACGUGACGCUGAACUCUGCUGCUGGACAUCUUUGCAGAAGAAGAGAGUGAGAAAUGUGUGGGCCUUUGACUCUUCCUGUACACUCUGCCCCUCCAGUGAAGUGGCAGCUCGCAGACUGCGAUGCUGCAGACUCUAUAACUGCUAUUGUGGCUCCUCAGGGCUCUUAUGUGCUGGAGAAUCAUAUGGGCCUAUAUUGUGUGCAAUUGCAGAGGCACUUUUAGCUGAUAACUCGCAGACAGAAAGGUGUCUAUCUUUAUAAAUGGGAUACUCCAGCACUAACCAAGUUUGAGCACGAGAACUGUCAUUACACAGUGUCAAGCAAAGUGUGUUUACAACCUUUAAAAUCAGCAGUGACGAUGGUACAUUAAGUCAUUUGAACAAUUUAUAACCCUAACGUAUAGAAUUAGGACCAGAGAAAUGUGUUUAUGAGUUCAAAUGAAUUAUUGAAUGACACCUAACCCCCAUCUACAGCUUGGGUAUGUGGUGGAAGGGUGGGGCAGAAUUUUUUUGUUUGUUUUUAUUUAGCUUUUUUUGUUUGUAUGUUUAUCUUUUUAUUAAUAAGUAUAUUUAUAAUUACAUUGUUUUCCUUGUUGGUGAUCUGCUGAAUUAUAACUCCACCCUGUAUAAUUAUGCUUGAAUACCAAUAAAAUGAUAAGGGGGUGAAAUAUUGAUUGAAUAAAUCUAGACUAAAAAAAGAAGAUGGCUAUCAAACUUAA